GUUAAAGAAAACCAGAGCCUAACAGUAGUGUUAAAACAGAUUUUCCUCAGGAACUAUUACAAUAGGGGGAAGGAGACUUUGGCUUGUCAAGCAGCCAAGCGUGUCCUGUUUUGUGGUCGGGUAGUUUGUUCGGAAAGCGAUAGAUCCCAGAUACUGCUCAGUAAUCACCUCGUGAGCCCGUCACUGCCCCAUCCCUGGAGAGAGAAGAGCUGGAGGCAUGAUGCUUGGACCGCAUUUACCAGUGAAGAGAUGCCAUACUGAAGUCAGGACGAGAGCAAUGGCUUCCGUUUACGGAGAGAAUCCCAGAAUGGAAGUCCACCCUGGCCAAGCCUGUGUCAUCAACCCGCGUCACAGGCAGCCGCCAUCGGCCAGGAGGCUCCUCCGUUCUCCCCAAGGAGAAUAAUGGUGCGUCUGUAAGUCCC